rnacentral:rRNA from 1 species
AUUGAACGCUGGCGGCAGGCCUAACACAUGCGAGUCGAGCGGAUGAAGGGAGCUUGCUCCUGGAUUCAGCGGCGGACGGGUGAGUAAUGCCUAGGAAUCUGCCUGGUAGUGGGGGAUAACGUCCGGAAACGGGCGCUAAUACCGCAUACGUCCUGAGGGAGAAAGUGGGGGAUCUUCGGACCUCACGCUAUCAGAUGAGCCUAGGUCGGAUUAGCUAGUUGGUGGGGUAAAGGCCUACCAAGGCGACGAUCCGUAACUGGUCUGAGAGGAUGAUCAGUCACACUGGAACUGAGACACGGUCCAGACUCCUACGGGAGGCAGCAGUGGGGAAUAUUGGACAAUGGGCGAAAGCCUGAUCCAGCCAUGCCGCGUGUGUGAAGAAGGUCUUCGGAUUGUAAAGCACUUUAAGUUGGGAGGAAGGGCAGUAAGUUAAUACCUUGCUGUUUUGACGUUACCAACAGAAUAGGCACCGGCUAACUUCGUG